rnacentral:rRNA from 1 species
GACGAACGCUGGCGGCGUGCUUAACACAUGCAAGUCGAACGGUGAAGGGGCCUGCUUUUGUGGGCCCUGGAUGAGUGGCGAACGGGUGAGUAACACGUGAGUAACCUGCCCCCUUCUUCUGGAUAACCGCAUGAAAGUGUGGCUAAUACGGGAUAUUCUGGGUCUGUCGCAUGAUGGGUCUGGGAAAGAUUGCGCCUUUGGGUGUUUUUGGUGGGGGAUGGGCUCGCGGCCUAUCAGCUUGUUGGUGGGGUGAUGGCCUACCAAGGCGGUGACGGGUAGCCGGCCUGAGAGGGUGGACGGUCACACUGGGACUGAGACACGGCCCAGACUCCUGCGGGAGGCAGCAGUGGGGAAUAUUGCACAAUGGGCGCAAGCCUGAUGCAGCGACGCCGCGUGAGGGAUGGAGGCCUUCGGGUUGUAAACCUCUUUCGCCAGUGAAGCAGGCCUGCUCCUUGUGGGUGGGUUGACGGUAGCUGGAUAAGAAGCGCCGGCUAACUACGUG